GACGAACGCUGGCGGCGUGCUUAACAUAUGCAAGUCGAACGGAAAGGCCCUGCUUUUGUGGGGUGCUCGAGUGGCGAACGGGUGAGUAACACGUGAGUAACCUGCCCUUGACUUUGGGAUAACUUCAGGAAACUGGGGCUAAUACCGGAUAGGAGCUCCUGCUGCAUGGUGGGGGUUGGAAAGUUUCGGCGGUUGGGGAUGGACUCGCGGCUUAUCAGCUUGUUGGUGGGGUAGUGGCUUACCAAGGCUUUGACGGGUAGCCGGCCUGAGAGGGUGACCGGCCACAUUGGGACUGAGAUACGGCCCAGACUCCUACGGGAGGCAGCAGUGGGGAAUAUUGCACAAUGGGCGGAAGCCUGAUGCAGCAACGCCGCGUGCGGGAUGACGGCCUUCGGGUUGUAAACCGCUUUCGCCUGUGACGAAGCGUGAGUGACGGUAAUGGGUAAAGAAGCACCGGCUAACUACGUGCCAGCAGCCGCGGUGAUACGUAGGGUGCGAGCGUUGUCCGGAUUUAUUGGGCGUAAAGGGCUCGUAGGUGGUUGAUCGCGUCGGAAGUGUAAUCUUGGGGCUUAACCCUGAGCGUGCUUUCGAUACGGGUUGACUUGAGGAAGGUAGGGGAGAAUGGAAUUCCUGGUGGAGCGGUGGAAUGCGCAGAUAUCAGGAGGAACGCCAGUGGCGAAGGCGGUUCUCUGGGCCUUUCCUGACGCUGAGGAGCGAAAGCGUGGGGAGCGAACAGGCUUAGAUACCCUGGUAGUCCACGCUGUAAACGGUGGGUACUAGGUGUGGGGUCCAUUCCACGGGUUCCGUGCCGUAGCUAACGCUUUAAGUACCCCGCCUGGGGAGUACGGCCGCAAGGCUAAAACUCAAAGGAAUUGACGGGGCCCCGCACAAGCGGCGGAGCAUGCGGAUUAAUUCGAUGCAACGCGUAGAACCUUACCUGGGUUUGACAUGGAUCGGGAGUGCUCAGAGAUGGGUGUGCCUCUUUUGGGGUCGGUUCACAGGUGGUGCAUGCCUGUCGUCAGCUCGUGUCGUGAGAUGUUGGGUUAAGUCCCGCAACGAGCGCAACCCUUGUUCACUGUUGCCAGCACGUUAUGGUGGGGACUCAGUGGAGACCGCCGGGGUCAACUCGGAGGAAGGUGGGGAUGACGUCAAGUCAUCAUGCCCCUUAUGUCCAGGGCUUCACGCAUGCUACAAUGGCUGGUACAGAGAGUGGCGAGCCUGUGAGGGUGAGCGAAUCUCGGAAAGCCGGUCUCAGUUCGGAUUGGGGUCUGCAACUCGACCUCAUGAAGUCGGAGUCGCUAGUAAUCGCAGAUCAGCAACGCUGCGGUGAAUACGUUCCCGGGGCU
rnacentral:rRNA from 1 species